AGAGUUUGAUUCUGGCUCAGGAUGAACGCUAGCGACAGGCUUAACACAUGCAAGUCGAGGGGCAGCACGGGAGUAGCAAUACUUGGUGGCGACCGGCGCACGGGUGAGUAACGCGUAUGCAACCUACCUAUCAGGAGGGGAAUAACCCGGCGAAAGUCGGACUAAUACCGCAUAAAACAGGGGCACCGCAUGGUGAUAUUUGUUAAAGAAAUUCGCUGAUAGAUGGGCAUGCGUUCCAUUAGGUAGUUGGUGAGGUAACGGCUCACCAAGCCGACGAUGGAUAGGGGAACUGAGAGGUUGGUCCCCCACACUGGUACUGAGACACGGACCAGACUCCUACGGGAGGCAGCAGUGAGGAAUAUUGGUCAAUGGGCGGGAGCCUGAACCAGCCAAGUCGCGUGAAGGAAGAAGGAUCUAUGGUUCGUAAACUUCUUUUGCAGGGGAAUAAAGUGCAGGACGUGUCCUGUUUUGUAUGUACCCUGAGAAUAAGGAUCGGCUAACUCCGUGCCAGCCGCGGC
rnacentral:rRNA from 1 species